GGGACCGUAGCUCAGUGGUAGAGCAUCUGCCUUUUAAGUAGAGGGUCGGUGGUUCGAAACCACCCGGUCUCA
rnacentral:tRNA from 1 species